rfam:Sus scrofa isolate TJ Tabasco breed Duroc chromosome 1, whole genome shotgun sequence.
CCAUGGGGGGGGGAACCUGGGGGCAGCCCCAUGGGAGGGGCUGG